CGCCCGCGUCACAAGUCCGUUAACCGCCCCGCAGUAGGUAUAUAGUCCUUGGCUCAAGCUCACCCUGUCUUCGCUGUCAUCAGUCUCGUCGCUCGUCAGAAAGCCAGGAGCAACGCUCGGAGGAUCUGCCACUCGAAGAGAGCUUGUUCGGAGACUGGAAGUGCGCGAGAAGAAGAAGUGAAGCUCUCAAGCUGCGCAUUCAAGCUCAAGGAUCGUGUGAUCGCUUAUACUCACGGAGGAUUCGUUCGCUUUCCGGAGAACGCCGAUAAGAUGAUGCAGCACCGACAAGAAAGGCACGGCUCCCGCAGCAGGAGGGCCCAGAGCACAAGCAAUAGCCCAGUGCUGGGCUGCAGGUCGCAGUCGAGGCGAGCGACGAGCACGAGGAGGCCGUUACCGAGGCCGGCACAGCUCUGCAGCAACGUCCAGCACAGCAGCAGUCCAGCUUCUUCGUCCAUCGCGUGGUCGCCUGCGCCCUCGUACAGCAGCAGCAGCACCAGCAGCAGCAGCAACUCGAUGUCUCUGCUCUCGGUGCUGGCCUGGUCCAUGACGCUGCUGCUCGUCUCCUCGUGCCUGGGCAUCGCCGAUGCCGGCACGCUCAUGGGACACCCGUUCAGCAAGCGCUCCUUCAUGGACAUCCAGUGCAAGGGCGUCUACGACAAGGCUCUGUUCGCGAGGCUCGAUCGCAUCUGCGAGGACUGCUACAAUCUCUUCCGCGAGCCCCAGCUGCACACGCUCUGCAGAAAGAACUGUUUCACCUCGGACUACUUUAAGGGCUGCCUAGACGUGCUGCUGCUGCAGGACGAAAUGGAGUGGAUCCAGACAUCUAUCAAGCAGCUCCACGGAGCCGAUCCUGGGGUUUAGGUGCUUUUUUAUUUUUCGUUUUUAUUUCUCCUCAUUCUUUUGAGUUACCUGCUCCUCUACGUUCGUUUUCUUAACCGACUCCUGCAUCCUUUCGCGUUUUCCCGAUCCGAGGUGAAGCUAUGCUAUAGAACAUACUCGUUAUUGUAGACUUUAUUUAUUUAACAUAUGGUGUUGGGUGAACAUAUGCUUCAGACCUUUGUAAUAUUUUUAGCUGCUAGAUUAGAAAAGUGUCGAAACUCUUGUAAAAUUGUCGUGGCAAAAGUUUUUUCGUAACGGUGUAGCUCCUCCUCGACGUAGACCAAACGUAUGCGCCUACUUAUACCCUACACAUACAUUACACACGCGCGCGCACUCCUUUCCAGUCCGCAACCUAUGAUAAUUACUUCGCCUUUCCAAUUUUUCGCUCAAAUUCAGUUUUCCCCCUUAUUUUCAUUUUGCUCACUGUACAAGUAUUCAUUAGUGGCAUCUAGUUACAUCGAGCUCCUGGUGCAUUACAAAAGACAUUAGGCAUAACUGUUUCGGCACCGAAUACUUUACGAGCUGCAUCCAAGCGCUGCUGCUUGAGGACGAGAAAGAAAAGUUCCAAGAUAUAGCCGAGUACCUUGGCCGCAAGAAGUAAAGCCCUGGGAGACUGACAGAAGACAAAGUGUGGCGAGAGAAGUGGACGAGGGAGAGCAGAGAAGAGACGGAGAAGAUAGGCAGAAAGAGAGUCACGAGUACUUUGUAUAUUUAAACGCAGAAGAGGAGUUGGGAGGAGCAAGGAUAUGAGGCAGGUGAUGGGCUACGAUGUAGAGGAACAUCUUCGGCGCAGAUUUGAUGAUCGUUUAGCCGCAAACUAGUCCUCCGUGAACGGAAGGAUCGCGUCGCUUUUAACGAGUUGAGGCGUCACGAUGAUUUUUAGAAUUUUUUCACGCAGACUUUUACGGUAUUUCGUUUUUCUUCUUUACGCACUGAUUUUACCUGCACGCGCGUGUUUUAAACAUUCAAUUUAAGCGCUCUUUCCGUUUACGAGGCUACUGGUCGACGCGUCAGAGCUUCAGCGUUUAUCACGCGUCUCUCGUGCGCGAGUAGGGGAUUAUGAAAAUUUCCCUUCGUAAACAGCUGUUUCGCGCACGAGGGACUGCGCAGCAGCUCGAUCAUUUCGCACACGGGAGAAUUGAUCUUUUGAUCUUCGAGGAGAGAUAGAGAGGCAGAAUAGGGGAGACAAAGAGACGAGUAGUAGUCACAUGCAUCCCAUAAAUACAAAUUCUAGUCGAUGAAAAAUAUCCGCGCGCAAGCGCGCGCACGUGCCGUGCACAUGUACACACAAGACAAGAGACACAGACAACACACGAGGUGCUCCGGUCUGCACAGCACGUCUAUAUUAAUUUACUGAUACGAAUUAUUGCUAUUUUUAUUAUUAUUACUAUCAAUGCUGCUAUCAUUAUUGCUAUUAUAAUUGUGUGCAUUACGAUUACGCACACACACACACAUAUAUAUAUAUAUAUUGUAAUUACGUUCAACAUUACUAUUAUUAAUUCUUUUUUUAGUAUAAUUAUGAUCAUCAUUAUAAAUACUAUUGCUAUAUCGUAUUAAUCGAUGUGACGGCUCAGUAUGGCGAAUCGCGCGCCGACUGGAUUUCGGGGCGUCGUUGUUUUCUUGAUCAAUUUUUAUUAUUAUUGUUAUUAUUAUUUGCGCCGAAGAGCCGCUUCCUUUCGUAUUAUCGGCCGCAGGUGAGACAAAAGUCGCACACCACGAAAGAAGAAAACCGGGUCGGCCAAAUGCUUUGAUGCUCUUUUUCGUCCGACGAAAUUUCGAAAGAAGGCGCAGCUUCAUUUCGCACACUUUUUCACCUUUUGUGUAUGCGAUUUUAUUUUAUUAUAACGGUUUUUAUUUAUUGACAUUUUUUGUAUUUCUUUCAUUUGAAAUACGUAGCACGUUUUGCCUCUUUUUGCAAAAAAACAAAAACAAAAAAAAACGUCCGCACAAGUGUGAAAUCGUGUCGAAAGAGAACAGACGCUCGUUAUAAUUGAAAAGAAACUUACGCCUCGACAUAUCGCGCGGACGCAUUCGCCCGUAUCCGGUAUUUACGAGUAUUUAUUUAUUUUUUCACGUCCCUGUAAAUUUAGUCGACAUAAACACACAGUGAGUAUUAUUGUAAUUUACUCUACUAUUGAGAGUAUAGAAGCUAAAUUGUCGGAUUGUCAAAUUUACGUCGAGAUAUCCCAAAUUGCAUUGUGUCGAAGGAGACAGAGAACAUUAUAAUAUGCGUACGCCGAUGACAAGCUGUACAAGAGAAAACAGGCGAGAGAUAAAGAUGAUUCUCAUAUAAGAGUGCAGAGCGUGAGAAAGAAAAAAAAGAGUGUGAGUGUGAGAGCGUGAGAUUAACGAAGAGUAUAACGGACCAUUCCGAAAUCAGUAUUGAAAAGUUGUUUCCGCACGGGAAACGCCAGCCUUGCAUUUUUUUGUGUAACUUUAAAACAACCCGGCGAACGAUCCUCGUCUUAAGCAACUCGAAAUGGGGACCUUAUCGCUAGUUAUUUAUUUUAUUCUUUUUUUUUUAGUAGUCUUUAAUGAAAAAUUAUUCAACGCCUUUUGUAUCGGCUUUUAUGCGUUUAAGCUUAAGCGAGACGUCGUCGCGUUCGUUUCGAGAAGAGAUGAUUCCUUCCUGUCAGCGAUUUAUGUCUUCUUUUUGAGAAAACGUGCGCGACGCAGCUCUUUGUAUUAGUGACAAAUGACCGCGAGUACAAAUAAAUCAAAAUGACAAAGUACUUUUUUUACGCUCCGUUUCUUCUCCUAUGUAAUUAAUUUAAUCGCAAUAGCAUAACGCAAAUACAACACUACUUUUGUUAUUUGUACUCCGAGAAUCAACGAACUAAUUUUUUCACCAGUAUACAGCAAGCGGAAUUUAAUCGGUAGUAGAAGCUCCCCGUGAGCGUCAGCCUAAAGGAGACGCCCAUUAACCACCUCCUCUUUUUUCCUUCGCGCGCGCGAGUCAAAAGAGUUUCGAUAAAAAGCAGCAUCAAACGAUAUUCCGUCUUAUCCUUUUAAUACGCAUAAAAUCAGUGACGCACGAAUUUUGUAUCCCUAUAUAUGCCGUGUAUAAACGUAAAUACGCAUAAUUUACGUGAACAGGACGAGAAAAAAGUAAGAAAGAGGGAGAGAGAUGUCAACGGCAGUCCGAUAAUGAAGUCUCGCAGCCGCGCGACCGACCUCUUAGUUUCGCGAGGCGUUUUAUGUUUAUUUCUCUCUGUAUGUUAGUAUUAAAAGUCCUCCUAUGCAUAAUAUACGAGGAAAAGAGAAAUCCACUAAAAUAAAAAAGAUAUUAUGCCGACCGUCUAGAGUAUUCUAUAUACGUACUAUCGUAUAUAUCUCACACGAUUCCUGUUGCGGGGAGUCGGCAGUCUGUAUUUUGUUUUUUUUAUUAUUAAUAUUACUAUUAUUAAUAAUAUUAUUAAUAUUGUUUGUAUUUAUUUAUAACGCUGGGUAUUGUGCAAGUGUGAUGAUAUCUUUAUUUUUUCACAACGGCCCGAAUCUCAGCAAAAGCUCGUUCAGAGCUUGCGAGUGAGAUGCAGCCCCAAAAGAGACAAAAAGAAACCGUGAAAUGAUGUGUGUACAUAAUGAAUCUAUGUGACAACCGAUCCGAUAGCAUCAGGCCAAUUCUCACACAUUAUAUGUGGACUUCGCAUUGUUCUUGCUGCUUUUUGCAACUUUUUGACGCACGAGCGCUCUUUUUUUCUCGCUUCUUAUGCAUUGUCAAACGUUUAUUUUUCUUAGCGAUGACGAUUGAGAUUCGAGCUGGGAGUGAAAAACAAAAAGAAUUUGCCAACCGAUUAUAUCGAUGCAUGCGAAUGCGCGGCGCUGUCGAGAAGAGCUUGAGGAAAUUUUGGUUUUAGAGUAUAUGCUUACAAGUUGUCGAUAAAAAAAUACAAUUAACGAUCCAACGAGAAUGAGCAGAGAGAGAGGAAGAUAGAGAAAAAAAGUUGUAUCCUAUUCGAUUAAAGUAAAUUUAAUAAAUUAUAAACUAUUUACAUAUAUACACAUUAUGUAUAACGCGUAUCAUAUCGAUCACACGGAUAUCUAAAAAAUCUAUUAUUGUUUGCGUGAAUAAACGAAUGAUUCAAGAAUA